GGCAUCAGAAAGAAUUGUUCAGAUUUCUUGAUAUUGGGCUACAAUGAAGACGUGGAGUAUAUUGAAGAUUCUGCUCAUUCUGAGGGGAUUGGAUUGAUGCAAAUGGCAAGGAAUUCAAACUCACAAAAUGGGGAUGCCCAUUCUCAUCACAUCAAUGGCAAUGGCCAUGUUGCCAUUAAUGUAAAUUCGGACACUAAAGAGCAUCAGGGUCAUCACCAUUCUUCCCAUUGCUGCCAUAACAACCACAAACAUAACCAUCACCAUAACUAUAACCAUAGCCAUGGAAAAUCCAAAACGGAUAGCAUUCCCCUGGGUUUGGGUCUUGGUCUUGGACGGAGCACUGC
rnacentral:misc_RNA from 1 species